rnacentral:rRNA from 1 species
GUGGGGAAUAUUGGGCAAUGGGCGAAAGCCUGACCCAGCAACGCCGCGUGAAGGAAGAAGGUCUUCGGAUUGUAAACUUCUGUCAUUGGGGACGAAGGAAGUGACGGUACCCGAUGAGGAAGCCCCGGCUAACUACGUGCCAGCAGCCGCGGUAAUACGUAGGGGGCGAGCGUUGUCCGGAAUUACUGGGCGUAAAGGGUGCGUAGGCGGCGAUGCAAGUCCAUUGUGAAAAGCGCGGGCUUAACCUGGGGGGUGCAGUGGAAACUGUAUGGCUUGAGUGCAGGAGAGGAAAGUGGAAUUCCUAGUGUAGCGGUGAAAUGCGUAGAUAUUAGGAGGAACACCAGUGGCGAAGGCGGCUUUCUGGACUGUAACUGACGCUGAGGCACGAAAGCGUGGGGAGCAAACAGGAUUAGAUACCCCGGUAGUCC